GGCUGGUCCAAGUAAGUGCUGAUUACAACUAAUUGAUCAUACUAGUUACGGAUUCCUUUGUUCCUUCUACACUCCCACAGUUUUACUUGACUAGGUUUUU
ensembl:misc_RNA Y_RNA Y RNA